rnacentral:lncRNA from 1 species
AAACUAAGCUAUUACAAUGUUUGAUUGUGUACUUGUAAUUGCUAGAAAAGCAUUUUUCCAAGCCACUUUAAUUUGAAAUGGAAAAGAAACAAAUUAAGCACAAAAUUCUGUGAUACCAAGUCACAAGUAGAAUGAAAAAGUGUGUGCAAAUGAGAAAGCCAAGUGUGGCUGCUGUAUCACAAAAUGCUGGUCCAAAAUGAUGAAAAUUUGCUACUGAAAAAUGGUUGUUGAAUUAGUUCUGUACAGCCAAGGAAGGUGCUCUCAAAGUCCUAACUUUUGCUUGCUUUAACAAUGCUUCCACUCCUUAGUACGCUACCCCUUUGAUAAGGUCCAGCUGUGUGCUAAAAUUCCACCAAACUAUGAUGUUCCAACAGACAAAAAUCACAACACCCGUGAGUGAAUAAGAAGCAUGCUGCAACAAAGUGUAAUGCAGAAAUAACGUGACAGCAAGAUGGGGAAGCCAAUAAAAGGGAUUUCUAAUCACUUUGGGGCUGGAAUAAAGGCUANCACNCAAAAGGAACCUAGGAUAGGGUCUAGAACANAUUAUAAAAGCAAUAAAAGACUCAAAACAUUGAUUGAAUUCUGUGCAAUGCAAGUGUUUNAANAAAAUUUAAAANUNUUUGAUGAAAUGCNACAAUGAACNUCAGGUUUGGUAUUUUUCUGAUUUUUGAACUUUCANGAGUGGAUUGCAUGGUUUAAAUUGCUUUUUAUGAAUGAUGUAUGGUACAUGGAUCACGUAAUGGUAUAUGUAAACAGAAACCUAGCUUUUGCCAAUCAAAAAUGCACUUUAUCUAUAGAUAAGAAUACCAAACANCAANCAAAAUGUACUGCAGUAGCAAAAUGAGUAGAAAAUGGGUGGUUUCAAUGGUGAUAAUGAAUGACGNUGGUGUAAAGGAGGAAAAGAUACUUCUAGCAAGUUUAAAACAUCAAUUUCAACCUGUGAAAGUUAUGAAACAGCCAAAAANAGAGCUAGUGCAGAAUAUGACUUGUGCACUUGCCAAAAGUGAGUAAAUUUUGGUGACGUAGCAGGUAUAGAUCAGUUUGCCUCAAAAUUUACCAUAUGAACAAUAACAAACAACUUUCAAUUCACCAAAAAUGACUCCAAAANCAAUGAAACAGAUCCAAAACAGUAAGGAUCUCAAUAUGAGGUAUGCACUUGCAUAUAUCAAGCAAAAAUGAUGGUUCAAGAUGUGAAUUGAUACCUUGGCUGUGAAAAGAGCAAAUAGACCAUGC